rnacentral:rRNA from 1 species
GCCGGCAGCUAGCUCUCUGCAACUCUCACAUGGUCGCCCACUGAAGCUAAGCAGGGCUGUGCCUGGUCAAUACUUGGAUGGGAGACCUAAUGGGAAAGCUAGGUUGCUGCCGGAA